AACGCACCUUGCACUUUCUGGUAUUCCGGGAAGUAUACCUGUUUGAGAAUCGAUUUUUAACCUCUUCUUUUAUUAGAAGGAAUUGGUCUUUUUAUACUUUCGGAUAAAGACUGUAAUUGAGUUGAUUUCUUUAAAUUACUAGAAAGCGUAAUGAUAGUCUUUACAGACUUUUUAUAGCUUUUUUUAGUGGUUAACAUGAGAAAUUGGUUAACAGUGAAUUCGUUUACUGACUCUCAUUUGGUUUCUGUUACUUUGUAACACACCAAAUUAAAUUAGAUCUCAAAUCAGGUAAGAUGACCCGCUGAACUUAA
rnacentral:misc_RNA from 1 species